rnacentral:rRNA from 1 species
GAAUCUGGAGAUAGCUGGUUCUCCCCGAAAUAGCUUUAGGGCUAGCCUCGGGGGUUUACCAUGGGCUGUAAAGCACUGAUUGGGCUAGGGGGCUUACCAGCUUACCAAACCCUGUCAAACUCUGAAGACCCAUGGUCCAUACCCCGGGAGUCAGUCUGCGUGAGCUAACUUUCGCAGACAAGAGGAAAACAACCCAGACCGCCGGUUAAGGUCCCCAAAUCAACGCUAAGUGGUGAAGGAUGUGAAGACGCUAAGACAGCUAGGAGGUUGGCUUAGAAGCAGCCAUCCUUUAAAGA